UCCCCUGUAGCUCAGCGGUAGAGCAGCCGGCUGUUAACCGGCGGGUCGUAGGUUCGAAUCCUACCGGGGGAG
rnacentral:tRNA from 1 species